AGAGCGAACGCUGGCGGCAGGCUUAACACAUGCAAGUCGAGCGCCCGUAGCAAUACGGGAGCGGCAGACGGGUGAGUAACACGUGGGAACGUGCCUUUUGGUUCGGAACAACUGAGGGAAACUUCAGCUAAUACCGGAUAAGCCCUUACGGGGAAAGAUUUAUCGCCAAGAGAUCGGCCCGCGUCUGAUUAGCUAGUUGGUGGGGUAAUGGCCCACCAAGGCUACGAUCAGUAGCUGGUCUGAGAGGAUGAUCAGCCACACUGGGACUGAGACACGGCCCAGACUCCUACGGGAGGCAGCAGUGGGGAAUCUGGACAAUGGGCGCAAGCCUGAUCCAGCCAUGCCGCGUGAGUGAUGAAGGCCUUAGGUUGUAAAGCUCGUUUCGGCGGGAAGAUAAUGACGGUACCCGCAGAAGAACGCCCCGACUAACGUUCGUGCCAGCACGCCGC
rnacentral:rRNA from 1 species